rnacentral:rRNA from 1 species
UGCAUAUCAAUAAGCGGAGGAAAAGAAACCAACAGGGAUUGCCCUAGUAACGGCGAGUGAAGCGGCAACAGCUCAAAUUUGAAAUCUGGCGUCUUCGGCGUCCGAGUUGUAAUUUGCAGAGGGCGCUUUGGCAUUGGCAGCGGUCCAAGUUCCUUGGAACAGGACGUCACAGAGGGUGAGAAUCCCGUACGUGGUCGCUAGCCUUUACCGUGUAAAGCCCCUUCGACGAGUCGAGUUGUUUGGGAAUGCAGCUCUAAAUGGGAGGUAAAUUUCUUCUAAAGCUAAAUACUGGCCAGAGACCGAUAGCGCACAAGUAGAGUGAUCGAAAGAUGAAAAGCACUUUGGAAAGAGAGUUAAAAAGCACGUGAAAUUGUUGAAAGGGAAGCGCUUGCAGCCAGACUUGCCUGUAGUUGCUCAUCCGGGUUUCUACCCGGUGCACUCUUCUAUAGGCAGGCCAGCAUCAGUUUGGGCGGUUGGAUAAAGGUCUCUGUCAUGUACCUCUCUUCGGGGAGAACUUAUAGGGGAGACGACAUGCAACCAGCCUGGACUGAGGUCCGCGCAUCUGCUAGGAUGCUGGCGUAAUGGCUGUAAGCGGCCCGUCUUGAAACACGGA